rnacentral:rRNA from 1 species
UACAGAGGUCUCAAGCGUUGUUCGGAUUCAUUGGGCGUAAAGGGUGCGUAGGCGGCGAGGUAAGUCAGAUGUGAAAUCCCGGGGCUUAACCCCGGAACUGCAUUUGAUACUGCUUUGCUUGAGGACUGGAGAGGAGAUCGGAAUUCACGGUGUAGCAGUGAAAUGCGUAGAUAUCGUGAGGAACGCCAGUGGCGAAGGCGGAUCUCUGGACAGUUCCUGACGCUGAGGCACGAAGGUCAGGGGAGCAAACGGG